GAUAACCGAAGAUAACAGCAGGGUUUAGGGUUGGAUUGGUGAUAACGCGAACAUCACCACCACCAGGGGCCCAGGUGUCGUACACGCCACCGAAGAACAUAGCCUUCAGGACUAACAGCAAUGCACCACAGCCCAAGAUGAUCAGGUGGAAACCGAUGAUGUUGGUCAUCUUGUUCUUGUCUUUCCA
rnacentral:antisense_RNA from 1 species